CAUACGUGUAAGAUGAUCUGAACCCAUUGGCUAUAUUCUGUUGCACUUCGGGACACGGACAGGAAUAUUCUUGCCGUUUCUGUCUUAUGAACCAUCCCUCCUUUGUCCAAAGCUUAGCCCCAUUGUGAAAAUGAGCCCGGCCUGCCCCAGGGUGAGGGCCAGAGAGUGUGGACGGGCCAUCUCCUCCAUUCUGGGCACCUGGCUGGACCAGUACUCGGAGGACUUCUGUCAGCCCCCAGACUUUCCCUGCCUCAAGUAGCUGGUGGCCCACAUGCAGCUCAACAUGCCUGGUUCCGAUGUGGAGUGGCGUGCCUACCUUCUGCUGGCCCCGCUGGAGCAUGCAGGGCCCCCGCAGGCCGAGCCCGAGGCUGCUCCGCCGUCCGAGGAACUAGAGCCGGCUCCAGCUGCUGCUCUAGGACGUUUGGGGAGCCCGUUGCAGGAGUAGAAACCAGUCCAGCUUCCAUGGGGCUCUGUGAGGACAGGAACUGGCACUCAGCUCGGAGUCAUCACAGCCCUGCCUGUCCGUCCUCACUGUCCCUGUGCGUGCACAGCCCUGCACCUGGGAUGCAGUGAUGCAUCCCUGCAGGGCUCGGGAUCAACCCAGGGCAGAAGGGCGCAGCCCCCCACACCCCAUCCCACUCAGCCAGCCUCAACCUGGGGUGUGACCAUGACCUGCCCACCGGGCAUCUGACCCCUCAUCAGCCUGCUCCUGCUCGGGGUGGCCCCACCUUGCAUGUCCCCUCUUACACACACACACACACACACACACACACACACACACACACA